rnacentral:lncRNA from 1 species
CUUAUUUUCAAACGGUUUGACAGAUUUGUGCCAUUACUUUAAUCCUCAUAUUUGCAGUUUGUGCCAACGCCGAUUACAUUGUCAACGGCAUCGGGGGAGAUGAAAUCGCAGGGUAUAUCUUCUCCCCCGUGACGGGACUAUCAAAAGUGCACCUCUUCCGAAAAUUUCAUCAGAAAGCACUUGUUCAUCAUCCUUUCAUUAUUCCUCCAGCGUAUCGUAAACUUCCUCCAAUAGGCGAGAAUUAUUUUGAAAUUGAUGAUGACGAAGAUGAUGGAAUUUAUUGACCAUGUGCUGCCAUCUACUGAAACGUAAAAGAACUAAAGAACUUCGCGAAUGCCGCCUUUGACAGUUCAUUUGCAAAGUUAGAUAAUUUUUAAAAUGAACGGAAUGAAAUGAGGCUAAAAUGAAACUGAACUCUCUGUGUAAUUAAGUUAUUGUUUAAAUCUAUUUAUUAUGUAUUUGUUAUUUAUUUAAAUGUAUCAAUAAAAUGUAGCCAAAUUAAAA